rnacentral:rRNA from 1 species
UUCACGGAGAGUUUGAUCAUGGCUCAGGACGAACGCUGGCGGCGUGCCUAAAACAUGCAAGUCGAACGAGGAUCCUAUGGGUCCUAGUGGCGAACGGCGGAGUAAUACAUAAGCAACCUGCCCCGAAGACCGGGAUAGCCCCUCGAAAGAGGGAUUAAUACCGGAUGUGGUCCGUUGUGGGCAUCCAUGACGGAUUAAAACGCGCAAGCGGCUUCGGGAGGGGCUUGUGGCCUAUCAGCUUGUUGGUGGGGUAACGGCCUACCAAGGCUUCGACGGGUAGCUGGUCUGAGAGGACGAUCAGCCCGACUGGGACUGAGACACGGCCCAGACUCCUACGGGAGGCAGCAGUUGGGAAUCUUGCGCAAUGGGCGAAAGCCUGACGCAGCGACGCCGCGUGCAGGACGAAGUCCUUCGGGAUGUAAACUGCUUUUGCCAGGAAAGAUUAUGACGGUACCUGGUGAAUAAGCCCCGGCUAACUACGUGCCAGCAGCCGCGGUAAGACGUAGGGGGCGAGCGUUGUCCGGAUUCACUGGGCGUAAAGAGCGCGUAGGCGGCCUGUUAAGUCAGGAGUGAAAUCUCCAGGGCUCAACCCGGAAAUUGCUUCUGAUACUGGCAGGCUAGAGGGUCAGAGAGGUGAUUGGAAUUCCCGGUGUAGCGGUGACAUGCAUUGAUAUCGGGAGGAACACCCGUGGCGAAGGCGGAUCACUGGCUGACUCCUGACGCUGAGGCGCGAAAGCGUGGGGAGCGAACAGGAUUAGAUACCCUGGUAGUCCACGCCCUAAACGA